rnacentral:rRNA from 1 species
GACGAACGCUGGCGGCGUGCUUAACACAUGCAAGUCGAACGGUGAAGCGCCUUCCUUUUUGGUGGGUGUGGAUGAGUGGCGAACGGGUGAGUAACACGUGAGUAACCUGCCCCCUUCUUCUGGAUAACCGCAUGAAAGUGUGGCUAAUACGGGAUAUUCUGGGUCUGUCGCAUGAUGGGUCUGGGAAAGAUAUUGUUUCGGUGGGGGAUGGGCUCGCGGCCUAUCAGCUUGUUGGUGGGGUGAUGGCCUACCAAGGCGGUGACGGGUAGCCGGCCUGAGAGGGUGGACGGUCACACUGGGACUGAGACACGGCCCAGACUCCUACGGGCGACAGCAGUGGGGAAUAUUGCACAAUGGGCGCAAGCCUGAUGCAGCGACGCCGCGUGAGGGAUGGAGGCCUUCGGGUUGUGAACCUCUUUCGCCAGUGAAGCAGGCCUGCCUCGUUUGUGGGUGGGUUGACGGUAGCUGGAUAAGAAGCGCCGGCUAACUACGUG